rnacentral:snoRNA from 1 species
CCCAUGAUGUUCAGUCCCUUUCCACAACGUUGGAGAUGAAGCUAGUUUUUGUGUCUGUGCCUGCAUAUUCCUAUAACUUCCCAGAGUCCUGUGGACGAUGACUGGGGAGACAGACCAUGCAGGGAACAGUC